rnacentral:rRNA from 1 species
CCUACGGGAGGCAGCAGUCGAGAAUCAUUCACAAUGGGGGAAACCCUGAUGGUGCGACGCCGCGUGGGGGAAUGAAGGUCUUCGGAUUGUAAACCCCUGUCAUGUGGGAGCAAAUUAAAAAGAUAGUACCACAAGAGGAAGAGACGGCUAACUCUGUGCCAGCAGCCGCGGUAAUACAGAGGUCUCAAGCGUUGUUCGGAAUCAAUGGGCGUAAAGCGUGCGUAGGCGGUUUCGUAAGUCGUGUGUGAAAGGCGCGGGCUCAACCCGCGGACCGCACAUGAUACUGCGAGACUAGAGUAAGGGAGAGGGAAGCGGAAUUCUCGGUGUAGCAGUGAAAUGCGUAGAUAUCGAGAGGAACACUCGUGGCGAAGGCGGGUUCCUGGACAUUAACUGACGCUGAGGCACGAAGGCCAGGGGAGCGAAAGGGAUUAGAUACCCUGGUAGUC